GUGACGCCCGCUCCGUCCGCUCCUCGUGUGUGCCACGCCCCCUAAUUACCCACGUGUGAUUUCCUGAUCGUGCCCAGUCGUGUCUUGUUUCCUGCUGCCUUGUUUCAUGUAUUUAAGUUCCUGAUUUGUACUAACCCGUGUCUGUCAUUGAUGUUACCCAGCGUUUGUCCGUGCCUGUCCCUAGUAAACUCCCGUUUUGCCCCGUAUUCUGCUUGUCUGCCUGUCCUUGCCCGCCUGCACGCACGAUCGCCGCUUCGCUCAACCGCGACGUGUGACAACAUGCUAAUUGCUAUGCCGUUCCCUAUGUAAUGAGGUGGAACUGGAGGGUGCGAUCUUGUUGGGGCAUGGUAAUUUCAUUAACCUGAUUGCUUAAUUGUUGCGGCCAGCGUGUGUAUUCGGGUACGUAGUCGGGUUGUCCAUUUCCGUAUUCUCUCGCUGGCCAAAAAAAGGAGAAUACAACCAUAAGACUGCUCUCAUAGCCAUUUGUCCAGAAGUGCGUGCACAGUUUGCACCCAACGUUACCAUGCAGUGGCCAGCGUCAGUAGUCUGAAGGCCUCGCUCGUCAAAGCGGAGGAGUUGUGAGCGCAAAUGGAAGGCAGCUCAUUUCCCACAAGGACCUGGACACGUGAUUCCAUUCCAGCUGGACCAGGAUUAUUAUUCAUUGAGAUCCGUACUCUCUGUUCCACCGCUCACCUGGAUUCCUCCUUCCGGGGCAGAGAAGAACAGGUGUUGACCCAGAAGAUGCAAAGAGUAGCCGUGAUGCUCUCCGAGAGUAAAGCAUGUGGGCAGGUUGCCUCUGAACAGUUGGGUUUUUUGUCUGCUAAAAGCACUCUGCUUUCCCCAUCAGCUGGCAGUGCACAAAGGACAAAGCGGGAAGUCCAAAUGGCAAGGAGCCGGUGUCCCAGAGAACAUAUCUGACUGACUGUCUGGAUUUUACACAAGGAGCCUGACUGCAGCUGAGCUUUCAAUGGGAUGGCAGUGUGGUAUUUUGGGUGUGAUGAAAGGUUGGAGCUAGAUAGCAAUUAAGGUUUAGUAAACAUGCAGUCGGGCAUCAUCUUACCACCAAGAGAGUAAGAAAGAGCUGGAAAUGCCAGACAGGAAAACCGGCAUGGAAGGACAAAAGGGGUUCUGUGCUAAAAAAUGUUCAGUGCAGUCCGGUGUGCAGGCACUCGGAUGCUCACGUCGUCAUCCCCUCCCCAACAAACAUCACAUGGCACAAAUAACCCGAACCAUGAUUACAAAGAAGGAUUGUUAACUUGAUAGUCGCAGGUGCUGGAAUCCAGUCGGAAUUCCUGACAGUCAUGCUAAGCUUGUGCUUUUCUCUCAUCUCAGUAAAAUUUGCUGGUAAAUUUUGCUCUGGGCCCCCAGCCUCCUCUGCAACUGGUUUUAGUGGUGUAAUUAGUUUUCUCUUCUGGCAAAAUGAGACACAGGUUGUGCACUGUCUGUUAAAGGCAUUUAUGCUGAGUCCACACUGCUGGUCCUCUGUAGGAGCUGAGGAGGCACGCUGUUGGCACGAUGCCCAUCGAGGUUGGCGACGGGUUCUCCCGUUACAGGUCAGCUGAGGUUUCGGCGCUGAUGCCGUCACAUGAUAGUUGGCUGAAGACUCACACUAGUACAUAUUUGUUUUUUGUGAGACACGUCUUGUCUUGUGGGAGCUCACUGGCACCAAGUACAAUGUCAAUAUCUUCAAAUUAAUGAUCCGUAAAUAAAUUAUUCUUUUACCCUCUAACCCAUCCUUGAAGACUAAAUUAGGCUAUAAAAAGGCAGAGAGAUUAUGGCGGGGAAAAAAAAAAUCACUUCAGACAAAGGCAGGGAAGCCAUGGAAAGACAAUAU